AUAUAUAACUGGCAGGGGAUCUCAUGAUCACGAUCACGAAGGUAGCUUUUCUGGCGCAAGGCUUAUCCACUGCAUUAUGGAUGUGCUGACCCUUGCAAUUUCCCCCAAUUUGGGAAACUUGAAUGCAUAGUUUGUGGUAGCAGGAGACAGCAUCCAUGAUCUCCCCUA